UCCCUGGUGGGCCAGUGGCUUAGACUGCAUUCCUAAUGCAGGGGGCUUGGGUUCGAUCCCUACUCAGGGAA
rnacentral:tRNA from 1 species